CAUUUUUGAGAAACUUAACGUAAAUACUAUUAGUAUUACAGGAUUUAAAUUAAUCCUCAAAACCU
rnacentral:tRNA from 1 species